UAGGGAAUCUUCCGCAAUGGGCGAAAGCCUGACGGAGCAACGCCGCGUGAGUGAUGAAGGUCUUCGGAUCGUAAAACUCUGUUAUUAGGGAAGAACAAAUGUGUAAGUAACUAUGCACGUCUUGACGGUACCUAAUCAGAAAGCCACGGCUAACUACGUGCCAGCAGCCGCGGUAAUACGUAGGUGGCAAGCGUUAUCCGGAAUUAUUGGGCGUAAAGCGCGAGUAGGCGGUGUUUUAAGUCGGAUGUGAAAGCUCACGGCUCCACCGUGGAGGGUCAUUUGAAACUGGAAAACUUGAGUGUAGAAGAGGAAAGUGGAAUUCCAUGUGUAGCGGUGAAAUGCGCAGAGAUAUGGAGGAACACCAGUGGCGAAGGCGACUUUCUGGUCUGUAACUGACGCUGAUGUGCGAAAGCGUGGGGAUCAAACAGG
rnacentral:rRNA from 1 species